AAGUCGUAACAAGGUUUCCGUAGGUGAACCUGCGGAAGGAUCAUUAACAAAUUUUCCCUACCAACCACGUUUGUGAACUGUUAUAAAGCCCAUGGUGUGCACCGUCCUAGUCCGGUUCCCAGUCUUGGCAUUCGUGUCAAGAGUGGCAUAAUCAGCUAGGCGGACCAUCAUGUUUAUUUACGUCUGCCUUACAACUGAACUGAGACUUUAUUAUCAGAUAAAGACAACUUGUAGCAACGGAUCUCUAGGCUCUC
rnacentral:misc_RNA from 1 species